UAGCUAGUUGGUGGGGUAAAGGCCUACCAAGGCGACGAUCGGUAGCUGGUCUGAGAGGAUGGCCAGCCACACUGGAACUGAGACACGGUCCAGACUCCUACGGGAGGCAGCAGUGGGGAAUAUUGGACAAUGGGGGCAACCCUGAUCCAGCAAUGCCGCGUGUGUGAAGAAGGCCUGAGGGUUGUAAAGCACUUUCAGUGGGGAGGAGGGUUGACAGGCUAAGAGCUAGUUAACUGGACGUUACCCACAGAAGAAGCACCGGCUAACUCCGUGCCAGCAGCCGCGGUAAUACGGAGGGUGCGAGCGUUAAUCGGAAUAACUGGGCGUAAAGGGUGCGUAGGUGGUUGGAUAAGUUAUCUGUGAAAUCCCUGGGCUUAACCUGGGCAGGUCAGAUAAGACUGUUUAACUCGAGUUUAGGAGAGGGUAGUGGAAUUUCCGGUGUAGCGGUGAAAUGCGUAGAGAUCGGAAGGAACACCAGUGGCGAAGGCGGCUACCUGGCCUAAAACUGACACUGAGGCACGAAAGCGUGGGGAGCAAACAGGAUUAGAUACCCUGGUAGUCCACGCUGUAAACGAUGUCAACUAGCUGUUGGUUAUUUAAAUAUAAUCAGUGGCGC
rnacentral:rRNA from 1 species